UACAGAGGCCACGAGCGUUAGGCGGAAUCACUGGGCUUAAAGCGUGAGUAGGUGGAUGGGUAAGUACCUUGUGAAAUCCCACGGCUCAACCGUGGAACUGCUUGGUAUACUGCCUGUCUUGAGGCACUCAGGGGCGAGCGGAACAAAUGGUGGAGCGGUGAAAUGCGUAGAUAUCAUUUGGAACGCCAAUGGUGAAGACAGCUCGCUGGGGGUGUACUGACACUGAGACACGAAAGCCAGGGGAGCAAACGGG
rnacentral:rRNA from 1 species